GACGAACGCUGGCGGCGUGCUUAACACAUGCAAGUCGAACGGAAAGGCCCUGCUUUUGUGGGGUGCUCGAGUGGCGAACGGGUGAGUAACACGUGAGUAACCUGCCCUUUACUUUUGGAUAACUUCAGGAAACUGGGGCUAAUACCGGAUAGGAGCUCCUGCUGCAUGGUGGGGGUUGGAAAGUUUCGGCGGUUGGGGAUGGACUCGCGGCUUAUCAGCUUGUUGGUGGGGUAGUGGCUUACCAAGGCUUUGACGGGUAGCCGGCCUGAGAGGGUGACCGGCCACAUUGGGACUGAGAUACGGCCCAGACUCCUACGGGAGGCAGCAGUGGGGAAUAUUGCACAAUGGGCGGAAGCCUGAUGCAGCAACGCCGCGUGCGGGAUGACGGCCUUCGGGUUGUAAACCGCUUUCGCCUGUGACGAAGCGUGAGUGACGGUAAUGGGUAAAGAAGCACCGGCUAACUACGUG
rnacentral:rRNA from 1 species